rnacentral:rRNA from 1 species
AUUGAACGCUGGCGGCAGGCCUAACACAUGCAAGUCGAGCGAGCGGCGGACGGGUGAGUAAUGUAUGGGGACUGCCCGAUAGAGGGGGCUAACUACUGGAAACGGUGGCUAAUACCGCAUACUAUCGGAUAACCCAUAUGGUAUUAGCUAGUAGGUGGGGUAAAGGCUCACCUAGGCGACGAUCUCUAGCUGGUCUGAGAGGAUGAUUAGCCACAUUGGGACGUAGACAAGGCCCAGACUCCAAGGGAGGCAGCAUUGGGAAAGAGUGACAAAUGGGCGAAAGCCGGAUGCAGCCAUGCCGCGUUGAUGAAGAAGGCCUGAGGUGUGUAAAGGACUGUCAGCGGGGAGGCGGUACCCGCAGAAGAAGCACCGGCUAACUCCGUGCCAGCAGCCGCGGUAAUAC